ensembl:lncRNA
AUUCCAUUGGACUUCCCCACAUUCAAUGGCAGGAGGCUUUCUUCCUAGAAUAUUCUCCAAAUCUUCUCCAAAGACACAAUGUGCAGCUUACAGCAUGAUUCAGAGGAAGCCAAUACUUCUAAGAAUGAAUUAACAUUUACCGAUGGAUUCUGUGGUGUUGGAGAAGACUCUUGAGAGUCCCUUGGACUGUAAGGAGAUCAUACAAGUCCAUCCUAAAGGAAAUCAGUACUAAAUAUUCAUUGGAAGGACUGAUGCUGAAGCUGAAACUCCAAUACUUUGGCCACCUGAAGCGAAGAACUGACGCAUUGGAAAAGACCCUGAUGCUGGAAAAGAUUGAAGGCAGGAGUAGAAGGGGAUGACAGAGGAUGAGAUGGUUGGAUGGCAUCACGGACUUGAAGGACAUGAGUUUGAGUAAGCUCCAGGAGUUGGUGAUGGACAGGGAAGCCUGGUGUGCUGCAGUCCAUGGGGUCCCAAAGAGUCAGACACGACUGAGUGACUGAACUGACUGACUGAUGGAGUCUAUAAUGUAU